rnacentral:rRNA from 1 species
CCCUUAGAUGUUCUGGGCCGCACGCGCGCUACACUGAUGCAUUCAACGAGUCUAAAACCUGGUCUGAGAGGGCUGGGUAAUCUUUUGAAAGUGCAUCGUGAUUGGGAUAGAUGAUUGCAAUUCUUCAUCUUCAACGAGGAAUGCCUAGUAAACGCAAGUCAUCAGCUUGCAUUGCUUACGUCCCUGCCCUUUGUACACACCGCCCGUCGCUCCUACCGAUUGAACGAUCCGAUGAAAACUGUGGAUUGAGAGUCUGAGUGGGUUCGCCUACCUCAACUUUCGAGAAGCGGUUUAAAUCUUAUCGUUUAGAGGAAGGAGAAGUCGUAACA